rnacentral:misc_RNA from 1 species
AAGUCGUAACAAGGUUUCCGUAGGUGAACCUGCGGAAGGAUCAUUAAUUAUAUGUAAUUAUUAUGAUUAUAUUUAAUUAGCCACGUAACUUUAAGUAUUAGAUUAAGCUUCGGCUUAUGAUGAUGCUAUAAGUUUAAUGGCAUUCUUCUCUUUAGUUUCAAUCUCUGAUUGAAGCGAUAAUUCAGGCCUAAAAACCUGAAUCUUAAUCAAUGUUAAAUUAUAAUUUAAUCAAAACUAUAUUCUAACUAUUAAUUAAUUUUAAUUUUUUAAUAACUAAUAACAAUGGAUCUCUUGGCACU